UCCUGCAGAGCCAGUCCCCUUCUCUUGAGCCUCGAACCACCUCUGAGCCAAGAAUCAACAAUCCUCCUUGCUACUCAGAACGCCAACUCCGCAUUCAGAAUAGACUCUUGUUUCUACUGUGGUGUCGCUGGUCACUUUGCUCCUGCCUGCCCUGUAAAAGCCAGCACUCGUCAGUAGAUCGGUGAGUACUGGCGAGCGUCACUACACUCUCCCCUGACUCAAAGACUCGCACAUCCCUUGCCGCUCUUCUGCACUGGGGGAAUUCCUCCUUCUCUUGAACCGCCCUCAUCGACUCAGAGCAGAGGAGAACUUUACUGAUGAGAAGUGUUUUCUAGAGCGUGGCAUUCCCUUACAAGAGCUGGAAGACCCUCCCACUGUCUAUGCCCUGGAUGGCCGUAUUCUUUUGAGGGUCCUCCGAGUCAACAUUCCUGGAGGACCCCGGUGAUUUGUCUGGAGUGCCAGAGGAGUACCACAAUCUGUGGGUGGUGUUUAUUUCACAGCAAGCCAUAGAGGACCUGAAAAGAAGAGGAUCUUGAUGGCUUUCUGGGACCAGCAGAAGCCAGAAAACAAACUGAAUAACUCACAAUGCAAGGUUCAUUGGAGGAUUUGCUUGUCGUUCUCCUGAUGUAGGAUGCUGACGUUUGUGAUCGCGCCACCAGUCCACUAACUUCAGUGGCCAGAAGUAUCAACAAAGAAAUGAAAAUUGGUGUAUGAUUGUGUGAGUUUUGAGGCACAACUGUCAGCAGGAGAAAACUCUGAAUUUGAACUUGGCUUGAAAUGCAUCAAAACAAGGAAACUCAAUGUAAAGAACAUCUUGAUGACUGCAUUAACAUCAGCUUUGAAGAAGCUUCUACCAGCAAGUUCAGAAGAAUAAAUGGAGUACUUUCAGUUUCAAAGCACAGAAAGAUCAAGUAAUGCAGAGAGAAAAGAAGCAAAAUUAGAGUCGCAGUGGAUCAUGUUUGUGAGACGGUGCUGAAGUGGCUUGCAAAUGUUUAAGACUUCCUGUUUGUUGCUGCCACAUGUUUUGAGUUGGAGCUCCAUCAAGUUAAUUCUUUAUUGUCUAUUUUUUAAUCUUCGUUUCUAUGAUGUGUGAAUAUAUUCCUAUGAUCGUUCUCUACAACAAAAACAAUCAAAGCACCUUAUCACUAGUUUUAUUUUGAUUUUACUGAGUCUGCUACUAGCUUAUAGCCCUUUACCAUCUAGCCCAUUUUACUCAUUGUUACUUGCUUUAAUGGCAGAUUUGUGUCUAGCUUUGAGUGCAGGUGAGGACACGUUUGAGUUGCACUAGCUGCGAGAGCGGAAAGCCGCUGGAAACAUCCCAGGCUGCCGCUCACUGUGGUAAGUUUGCAGUGUGAUAUUAACACUCCCACCACCUCAACUCUGUGUGUUUCUCUGCACAGGCCCCGUGCAGCAGAAGAUGCGAGCCAGGCCCCAGGCGAGGACCUCUCCCCCUCCGCCGCCUCCAGUCUUCAGUCUUCUUAAUAACUGGAGUCUUUUCUGGGAACGUCCUAGGCUCUUUCGUGCUGAUGGCCUGCACCCCAGCAGAGUCAGAGCAGAAUUCCUGUCGGACAACAUCUCCAG